AACGAACGCUGGCGGCAUGCCUAACACAUGCAAGUCGAACGAAACCUGCGGGUCUAGUGGCGCACGGGUGCGUAGCGCGGGGGAACCUGCCCUUAAGUUCGGAAUAACUCCCCGAAAGGGGUGCUAAUACGGGAUAAUGUCUUCCGACCGAAGAUUGAUCGCCCUUGGAUGGGCCCGAGUUGGAUUAGCUAGUUGGUAUGGUAAACGCCUACCAAGGCGACGAGCCAUAGCGGGUCAGUGAGGAACAUCAGCGACACUGGGGGUGGGCCACGGUCGGGACUCUUACGCGAGGCAGCAGUGCCUAAUACUGGACUGCGGGGGAAGGCAUGAACCAGCACUGCCGCUUGAGUGAUGAAGGUCUUAGGGUUGUAAAGCUCGUUUACCCGGGAUGAUAUUGACGGUACCGGGAGAAUAAGCUCCGGCUAACUCCGUG
rnacentral:rRNA from 1 species